GACUCUGUAGCCCAUAGAUUUUUGUGCAUCUCCUAUAGAAAACAAUGAGACAUUUCACUAUUUACAAGUUACAAGUUGUUUGAAAUCAAUAUUCUAUAUUGUAAUUGUAUUUGAUUAUAUAUCUAAAUUUAAUUUAAAUGUUUGAAUAAGAUCAAAUCUAAUUCAUUUUAUUUUUUAUACUAUUCUCCUUGCCUUCAUCAUAUUUCUUCAAAGGUUUCUAAAAAUAAUAGAUAGAUGAGUACUUUAAAAAAGUGAGUUUUAAUAUUCAAUUUUUAAAAUAAAUAUAUCCUCGAAUCCUUGUAUAAAUUUUUAUUUAUUAAGAUUAAGUUGGUAUCCAAUAAAAUUUUAAGCAAAUAAUUCAUAUCUAUAUUAGUGUAUUUAUAUAAAAACUAUUUGAUGAUAAUUUUUUUAAUAAGAAUAACACAAGAUAUAUAUCAAUUUAUAAACUUAAUUAUGUUUUAAGAAACACAUGCAUUCUGACAAUUAAUAAAAUCUAGGAUUUUUACCAAAAAAAAUCUAUAUUUAAAUUAUUAGAAAAAUAGGAGUGGGAUUGUAUUAAGAACCAUGUAAUUUAUGUGUUUAAUAAGUGUUUUUUAAAAUAUUUAAAUACAUCUAAAUGAUAUAUAUUUUUUAAAGAUUUGUUUUAUGUUUUUGAUAUUAACAUAUCAAAAAAUACCUAAAAAUUUAAUAAAUCCUUUUUUUUCAAAAAAAAUAAUUUAAAAAGCAAUUCAAAAAACUAGUUGAAACGGGAUACCCCCACACCUUUAAAAAAAAAAAAAAAAAACCACUUGAUCAAGCCUUUGCACGUAGUUUCUUCCACAAGUGAUGAGAUUUUCCCCUCUUUUUGGUAAAGCAAAACGUGAAGGAAGAAAACUUAAAUUCUUGGUGUGAUCAAUCAAUACAGUAACAAAAGCAGGUAAAUCACUUUUUUAGCUUUUCCAAGGUUAAAAUCCAAGCUAGAAACUAACAAGUGCCUAAAUCCGCCAUGAAAGUGGCUGGAAGAACUUGUUUCUAGCGAAGCCUGUAGCAGUAAAACCCUGUCUUGCAUAUAGAAGACAAGCAUAUCUUCUUACCCCAACUAGCCACUGUCACCAAUUCUUACAUGAUGGCGUUUGGAA
rnacentral:lncRNA from 1 species